rnacentral:rRNA from 1 species
AGUGAACGCUGGCGGUAGGCCUAACACAUGCAAGUCGAACGGCAGCACAGUAAGAGCUUGCUCUUACGGGUGGCGAGUGGCGGACGGGUGAGGAAUACAUCGGAAUCUACUUUUUCGUGGGGGAUAACGUAGGGAAACUUACGCUAAUACCGCAUACGACCUACGGGUGAAAGCAGGGGAUCUUCGGACCUUGCGCGAUUGAAUGAGCCGAUGUCGGAUUAGCUAGUUGGCGGGGUAAAGGCCCACCAAGGCGACGAUCCGUAGCUGGUCUGAGAGGAUGAUCAGCCACACUGGAACUGAGACACGGUCCAGACUCCUACGGGAGGCAGCAGUGGGGAAUGUUGGACAAUGGGCGCAAGCCUGAUCCAGCCAUACCGCGUGGGUGAAGAAGGCAUUCGGGUUGUAAAGCCCUUUUGUUGGGAAAGAAAAGCAGCAGGUUAAUACCCCGCUGUUCUGACGGUACCCAAAGAAUAAGCACCGGCUAACUUCGUG